GUGACACCAGAGUAGUGCCGGACACGUGGAAUCCGGCAUGAAGCCGGGGGGCCCACCCCCCAAGCCUAAAUACUAACCAGUGACCGAUAGCGAAGUAGUACCGUGAGGGAAAGGUGAAAAGAACCCCGGGAGGGGAGUGAAAUAGAACCUGAAACCUUAUGCUUACAAUCGGAGGGAGCGCAAGUGACCUCAUACUUUUUGUAGAACGGGCCAACGAGUUAUGGUAUGUAGCAAGGUUAAAGUGCUGGAGCACCGAAGCCGCAGGGAAACCGAGUCUUAAUAGGGCGAGAAGUUACAUGCUGUAGACCCGAAACCGGGUGACCUAUCCAUGUGCAGGUUGAAGUAACUGUAAAAGGUUAUGGAGGACCGAACUCAUGUCUGUUAAAAAAGGCUGGGAUGACGUGUGGAUAGCGGUGAAAUUCCAAUCGAACUCGGAGAUAGCUGGUUCUCCUCGAAAUAGCUUUAGGGCUAGCCUCAAGGAAAGAUACGCGGGGGUAAAGCACUGAAUGUUCAAGGGGCCUUCACCGGUUACCAAAAACUAUCAAACUCAGAAUACCGCAGUAUUAUACUUGGGAGUCAGGCUAUGUGAGAUAAGUUUCAUAGUCGAGAGGGAAACAACCCAGACCAACAGCUAGCUCACUAGUCGAGUGACCCUGCGCCGAAGAUAAACGGGGCUAAAACUUACUACCGAAGCUUUGGAACAGAAAUGUUGGUAGAGGAGCAUUGUAUACAGGCAGAAGGUAAAUUGUGAAGUUUGCUGGACAGUAUACAAGAGAGAAUGUUGGCAUGAGUAGCGAGAGGCAGGUGAGAAUCCUGCCCGCCGAAAAUCUAAGGUUUCCUGAGGAAGGUUCGUCCACUCAGGGUUAGUCGGGGCCUAAGCCCAGAGCGAGAGCUGUAGGCGAUGGACAACAGGUAGAAAUUCCUGUACCACCGAGGAUUGAAUGAGUGAAGUGGGGACACAGAAGGAUAGGUUGAGCACGCCGUUGGUAGAGCGUGUCCAAGCGUUAAGGGAGUAUAAGUAGGCAAAUCCGCAUAUACAAUUCUGAGGCGUUAUGGGGUGGCGAAAGAGCCUGAAGCGACUGAUUUCAUGCUGUCAAGAAAAUCCGCUAGCAAGAUCCAAGGUGCCCGUACCGCAAACCGACACAGGUAGAUGAGGAGAGAAUCCUAAGGCGAGCGAGAGAACUAUUGUUAAGGAACUCGGCAAAAUUACCCCGUAACUUCGGGAGAAGGGGUGCCACAGAAAUGUGGCCGCAGUGAAUAGGCCCAGGCAACUGUUUACCAAAAACACAGGUCUCUGCAAAAGCGAAAGCUGAAGUAUAGGGGCUGACGCCUGCCCGGUGCUGGAAGGUUAAGGGGAAGUGUUAGGGUAACCGAAGCACAGAACUUAAGCCCCAGUAAACGGCGGCCGUAACUAUAACGGUCCUAAGGUAGCGAAAUUCCUUGUCGGGUAAGUUCCGACCCGCACGAAAGGCGUAAUGAAUGUUGCAUGUACAGGAUAGGUGGGAGACAGUGAGUACAGUACGCCAGUAUUGUAGGAGUCAUCGUUGGGAUACCACCCUUGUAAUAUUGAAGUUCUAACCAUGUAGCGUUAGCCGGUACUGGGACAUUGUCAGGUGGGCAGUUUGACUGGGGCGGUCGCCUCCUAAAGAGUAACGGAGGCGCCCAAAGGUUCCCUCAGCGCGGACGGAAAUCGCGCGAAGAGUGCAAAGGCAGAAGGGAGCUUGACUGCGAGACAAACAGGUCGAGCAGGUACGAAAGUAGGGCUUAGUGAUCCGGUGGUUCCGAGUGGAAGGGCCAUCGCUCAACGGAUAAAAGCUACCCCGGGGAUAACAGGCUGAUACCCCCCAAGAGUUCACAUCGACGGGGGUGUUUGGCACCUCGAUGUCGGCUCGUCUCAUCCUGGGGCUGAAGUAGGUCCCAAGGGUUGGGCUGUUCGCCCAUUAAAGAGGUACGCGAGCUGGGUU
rnacentral:rRNA from 1 species